AUUACACUGAUAAUAUCUAUAUAUUUGAUAGAAAAUUAUUUUUAUUAGCAUCUGCCACUGCACUUCCCUGGUCACCCUAUGUAUAUAUUGUUUCUUUUCUAGACUUCUCAAUCUGUCUCCGAAGUAGGUAAUGAUACAAAACAGAAGUGUUCUCUGAGUCCUUCGAAUACAUAUUUCAUAUAUAUUCAGAUGCCCAUAAUUAGUAUGACUCAUGAAUUUAAUACCUUUAUAGUUUGUAAAAUCUUGAAUAACAUUUAUUUUUAAAGUAAACACUACAAUAAUUCUACUCCAUUCAUUAGGCAUUUUUUCCUUUUCAAUAUCUUAUUGAAUAAUUUUGUCUAAGCAUAAAUUUUUUUUCAUGCCUUUGAUAGAAUUUCUAUCUGAACUGAUUGCUUUUCUUAUCUUCAUGCUUCAUCCUAUUCAGUGCCCCCAUACUUCCAAGAUAAGUUAUAAGAUGGGUGACCCUUUGGCAAGUCCUCACAUUGCACCCUACCAAAAAAUCCUCACAUUGCACCUCUUAAAACUUGCC
rnacentral:lncRNA from 1 species